rnacentral:sRNA from 1 species
CCGCGCCGCCCUCCUUGGGCGUUUCCUCCCUAGACUUGGGCCGUCGACGCUUCCGCGGACGGCCCUUUUUCUUUUCUGGG